rnacentral:lncRNA from 1 species
UGGGAGACUUUAACACCCCACUGUCAACAUUAAACAGAUCAACGAGACAGAAAGCACCCUCCCAAGACUAAACCAGGAAGAAGUUGAAUCUCUGAAUAGACCAAUAACAGGAUCUGAAAUUGAGGCAAUAAUUAAUAGCUUACCAAGCAAAAAAAGUCCAAGACCAGAUGGAUUCACAGCUGAAUUCUACCAGAGGUACAAGGAGGAGC